rnacentral:lncRNA from 1 species
CCGGGGGCGGGGAGAGGGGCGGGGCUUUCCGCCGAAAGGGGGCGGGGCGCGCGGAGGAGGCGGGGCGAGCGCAGGGGAGGCUGGCGAGCAGAGAGUGCCCUUGUGUCGCCAGCCGGCGAGCGGCUGGGAGCGAGCAGCCGCCCCGCGCCGCCAGCGGGACGGGACGGGACAGCACGGCACGGGACAGCACGGCGCGGGGCGGGACAGGCCGGGCCGCAGGGACAGCCGGACCGACCCGCCGGUAGGGGCGAGGGGAGCCAGCGGGGGCAGCCGGCACCGCUCGGUGGAGGGAAGCAGCCCGGCGGCGGCAGAGCCGGCGGGGAGAGCUGCUCCCCCCACUUCCCUCCCCAAUCCACCCCCGCGACCCCGGCCCUCCUCCUCCUCCUCCUCCUCACCCCACUGGAUACAGCGAGGGAGACACUGCGGCGGCGGAGGCGGCGGCGGCGGCUCCUGCGGGGGGAAGGAAGCGCCCGGAGAGCGGAGCGGCGGGAGGCUGCGGAUCUGCGUGCCUGGCGCCCACCCAGCCCGAGGGGAGCCCCCAGGAUGCGGCUCAAGCCCGGCGCGCUCCUGCGCUUCUACAGCCUCUGCGGGAUCCUCAUGCAAGGUGAGUAACUGAAGGUUAACAGAAUGCCUGGUUGUCAAGUAUGCUUAAUGCUUUUCUAUAGUACAUUGUGGUGUCCAAAGUGCUCUCAUUACCUGGAUUACAGAGUCAUAAAAUCACCACACUCUUACCUGUGGUCCUGUCAAAGUGAAACAAAAGGAACAGAAAGAAGACUACAUCUCUUUUAUAAGUACGUGUAUAAUAAAAACACUGCAAAAGAAAUAAAGAUUUCUCA